GGGGGAGGGGCACAGUGGCUUAGUGGUUGCCUCACACCUCCGGGGUUGGGGGUUCGAUUCCCACCUCUGCCC